rnacentral:misc_RNA from 1 species
GAUGAAGAACGUAGCGAAAUGCGAUAAGUAAUGUGAAUUGCAGAAUUCAGUGAAUCAUCGAAUCUUUGAACGCAUAUUGCGCCCGCCAGUAUUCUGGCGGGCAUGCCUGUUCGAGCGUCAUUUCAACCAUCAAGCCCCCGGCUUGUGUUGGGGACCUGCGGCUGCCGCAGGCCCUGAAAAGCAGUGGCGGGCUCGCUGUCACACCGAGCGUAGUAGCAUACAUCUCGCUCUGGGCGUGCUGCGGGUUCCGGCCGUUAAACCACCUUCAUAACCCAAGGUUGACCUCGGAUCAGGUAGGAAGACCCGCUGAACUUAAGCAUAUCAAUAAGCGGAGGA